rnacentral:rRNA from 1 species
GACGGAGGAUGCAAGUGUUAUCCGGAAUCACUGGGCGUAAAGCGUCUGUAGGUGGUUUAAAAAGUCUACUGUUAAAAAUUGAAGCUUAACUUCAAAAAUGCCGUGGAAACUUUUAAACUUGAGUAUGAUAGGGGUAGAGGGAAUUUCCAGUGGAGCGGUGAAAUGCGUAGAUAUUGGAAAGACCACCAAUGGCGAAGGCACUCUACUGGGCCAUUACUGACACUGAGAGACGAAAGCUAGGGGAGCAAAUGGG